GGAGAACAAAGCCAUGAAAACCAUUUCCACAAAAACCCUUGAGGAGGAGCGCCAUCAUUUGAGAAGUAUCAUUCAGAGGCUGAAUCUGCUGAAAGUGCUCAGGGGCACCACCCGGAGGAUCAUGAGUUUACUGAAUCUGGCCAAAUCGUGCUAUCGGACUCCUCAGUUAGGGCUGACAUACACUCACAGAUCUACGAUCAGACACAGGAGAGCAGGAAGGAGCCUCCCAGAGAGAGCAAAGCAACCGUGGAUCACCCUCUGUCGGCGGU